UAAGUCCGAUUUACAAAGAUCGGCGGGGAAAGUUACAGUUCAUAUGCUUUCUGUUUUCUUGAAAAUAUUUUAGAGCCUUUGUAAGACCGGCAGAAAAGGUCGGCAAGAGGUGCAUUUCCUCUGUAAUUUGUUAGAUUUGCAACUCGCCAUAUGAUCUUUGUUAUUGUAAGCCCGAUCUUGAAGUAUCGGCGAGAAAAUUAAUAGCAUCCUGAACUCCUCUGUAGAAAAGACGAAAAGUCUGUAAGAAUUCGCCACAUGUCCAUAAGCAGUGCCAAAUUCAGCGGUAAAAUCUUGUUAAAGAAGCAGCUAGCACGUGGUUACUGUCGUAAUGCCCAUGUAAAGCUGAUUUAUUUUACGAGGAAUAUUUAACCAGCCUCGGUACAUCUGUGCGUACUUCCAGCCACAUCAACUGUAAUGUAUUAAUUCUAGUAUUUUUUUUUAUAAAAAAGGUAAAAUAACUACUGAACGGUGUUUUGUUGAAAGGUAAACUAGUACCAAAUUGUGUUUUGCUUUGACUGACAUAAUUCAUUUAAUGAGUUGCCUACUUGGCUGGGCUUUAGUAUUUUAUUCCAAGUUCACUUAGCCUAGGUAUCCGGGAUAUGAGGCCAGAGGUCAGGUCAGAUGUGACAUUGAUCAAACAAUCAUCCUGCUGUAGAUGAAACCAAGGAACCGGAAGCAGGGAGGAGGACCAACAGAUGAACUGAUGACCCUGCUUGUAGAGCAUACAUUUCCUCAUUUUAAGGAACUUUAGCCAAGAGAUCACCAAUCCUUGACCAGAGGCUGAGAGAGGUUGGUCCUGUGAGACAAUUGAAUGACUGCUUCAUGCCACCAAAGGCAGAAAAUUUGGAACCAACUUAGAAAGAUAACCAAGAGACAAUGGUGAGAUAGACACAUAUCAGUCCCUAGAAAAAAAUGGUAUCACUCUAAGCAGGUUGAGCAACUGCUUGAGUGUCUGGUAAUUCAAGAUUCUGCGGACCUGAACAACAACAAAGUAGCUGAACCUUGAGGUUUCCUUUAAUCACAGAAUUGAGACAACUAAGCAGUUUCAAUCUUGAUGUUACAUGAACAGUGCAUUAGAGCAAAGUUCUAUAUACAUACUAGCACUGAUUUCUUCGGAAACCCUCCCCAACAAAAUUGCUCAAGAUUCUAAUCUUUUAAAGAUGCUGAACUGAAAGAUCAUGUUACUAAUGCCACCUAGCUCGCCUAGGCCAAGAUUUUUUUAUUUCACAGAUACUUACAAGAUGCCACACAGGAAGAUGAAACUCAAAAGGAUGACAAGUCGUUGAUUCAGAGGAGUCAAGAAGGAGACACUGACGAACCCAUAGUUGCAUUGAUGCCGUUACCCAUUCUGGAGGGUGGAUUAAGACCUCAAGGCCUGAAUGAUAAAUCUGGUUGGAUGAAGAUGAGCCUGCAGCCCAUCUGGACAAGGAUGACCCAUGGCUACUCACAUCAUAAAAGACAACACUGAAGAACUGGAGCUGGAACUUGGAGGAAGACAAACAGAUGAACUGAGGAUCUUACUUGUUGUGCCAUCAUUCAACAAGUCUCUGGAUACGAGGACCUGUCAGGCCAGAGGAGAUUAAAAUUGAGCAAUCAUCCUACUUGGAUAAAAUGAAGGGACAGAGGAGGGUCACCAGAUGAAGUGAGGACCCUGCCUGAAGAGUACAUGUGUAUACAUCUCCUAAUUUGAAAGUGCAUUGCAGACCUCAGCUGAAAGAUCACAAAUCCUUGACCUGAGGCUGAGAGAGGUUGCUCCAGUGAGACAAUUGAAUGAUUCAUGCCACCAAGGGUAGAAAUGAGGAUUAUGAACCAAUUCGGCAUGAUAGCCAAGGAAGACUGGUGAGAUGCACACAUACCAAUCUCUAGACGAAUUUUCUCACUGAAAAGUGUUGGGUAAUUCAAGAUUCUGCUGACCGGAACACUACAGUAGCUAAACUUUGAGGAUUCUUUAUAUCACAAAAUUGAAAUAACAGAGCAGUGUAAUUCGUCCUUGAUGGUAUAUGCAGUGCCAAUGCUCAGUACAUUGUCAUUUACAAGAUCAAACCUGUACAUGCAUACUAGCACUUUUUUCUUCAAAAACCUCCAAGAAAAUUGCUCAAAAUUCUAACCUUUGAAGAAGCCGAAAUCGAAAAUCAUGUUACUAAUGCAACCCAGCUAGCCUGGGCCGAGAGUUUUUUUUUCCACAGGAAUUUGAAGGAUAGCAAAUGGGAAGAAAAUACUUAAAAGAUGAAGCAUCAUUGAUUGUUUGGAGCCAGAAUAGCGCUGAUGAACCUAUAUGGUAACCUUGAUGCCAUGACCAAUUCUGGAGAACAAGAUGAAGACUAUUGGGCCUGGACGAGAUGGACUGGAUGAAGAUGAGCCUGCACCCUCCUGGAUGAAGACGGGUCUGCACCC